rnacentral:tRNA from 1 species
GAGGGUAUAGCUCAGUGGUAGAGCGUGUGCCUCUCAUGCUGAGGUCCUGGGUUCAAUCCCCAAUACCUCCC